ACCAAUUGCUCUACCCAGCCUCCCUCCGGCUCUAUCCACUCUGGCAAUUGAAGCUCUAGUCUGGUUUCCAUGGCGGUUCUCUGGUUUCCAUGAGGACGUCGACUCCCCGAGCCUUAUACCCUAAACACAAUUGACUCUCUUCAAUCUCUCUCUCUCCUCGCUAUCUCUCUCUCUACCCUCGCUCGGAAUUGAAGCUCUGGUCUGGUUUCCAUGGCGGUUCUCUAGUUUCCAUGACGACGACUACUCCCUGAAGACGACGAUGACUCCCUCGGGCCAGACGACGCUGGAAAGCCGGCCACCGAGGACUCUUCGUCCUUGCUGCUCUGCCGUUUCACCUCGCCGUCCACUCUAAAUAAGCUGCCGGAUUCGACUUGUCUUGCCGCAAUUACAAACUCUUUCGCCGUCGUCUGGCCUCGGGGACUCGUGGUCUUCCCGUUGUCGGCUCACCAGGACGACGACGGCUCCCCGAGGCCAGAUGACGGCGAAGCCAGGACUCGUGGUUUGUAAUUGCGGCGAGAGUAGCAGAGUGCAUAUGAUCAAGUCGA
rnacentral:lncRNA from 1 species